rnacentral:rRNA from 1 species
UACGUAGGUGGCGAGCGUUGUCCGGAUUUAUUGGGUUUAAAGGGUGCGUAGGCGGUCCUAUAAGUCAGUGGUGAAAUAUCGCAGCUCAACUGUGAGGGUGCCAUUGAUACUGUAGGACUUGAGUGAAUUUGAGGUAGGCGGAAUUGACGGUGUAGCGGUGCAAUGCUUAGAUAUCGUCAAGAACACCGAUAGUGAAGACAGCUUACCAAGCUUCAACUGACGCUGAGGCACGAAAGUGUGGGGAUCAAACAGG